AGGCGGCCCGGGGGCCUUUCUGCGCAUGUGCCGUUCCUGUUUUUCACCCGGACGCGCUUCCGGUUCGACAGACUCUUCCGGGUGAGGGUCUUUCAGCCCGUGAAUGCCUGGUCCCGCCGUGACUUGGACCUGGUGCGAACUGCAGGCGAAGCGGGUGCACCCACAACCUAUAGGAAGGGCUGGCGGCGAGCUCCGAGCACUCGGGCGUCGGAGGGAACGGUGGGGCCGGGCGGAGCUGUCCUCGGCUCUGCUUUCAACACUCUUGGCCCUUUCUCAAGAGAACCUGAAAAUGAACAAAUUUCAGAGAUCAGUUUCAUUUCAGGACCUGACUGUGAACUUCACCCAGGAGGAAUGGCAGCAACUGGACCCUGCUCAGAGGCUCCUGUACAGGGAUGUGAUGCUGGAGAACUACAGCAACUUGGUCUCCGUGGGGUAUCAUGUUAGCAAACCGGAUGUGAUUUUCAAAUUGGAGCAAGGAGAAGAACCAUGGAUAGUGGAGGAAUUCUCAAAUCAGAACUACCCAAAAGUUGAUGAUGCCUUAGAGAAGAACAAGGAAAUCCAGGAUAAACAUUUGACACAAACUGUAUUCUUCGGCAACAAAACACUGAUUACAGAAAGAGAGAAUGUAUUUGGGAAAACACUUAAUCUGGGCAUGAAUAGUGUUCCCUCAAGAAAAAUGCCCUAUAAAUGUAAUCCAGGAGGAAACAGUUUGAAAACUAAUUCAGAAGUAAUUGUUGCAAAGGAAAGCAAAGAAAACAGAAAGAUUCCUGAUGAAUACAGUGGAUUUGGGAAGCCACUGCUUCAUACUAAGCAUGAAAAAAGUCAUUUGGGAAUGAAAAAUUACAGAUAUAAUCCAAUGAGGAAAGCCAGCAAUCAAAAUGAAAGUCUUAUUCUUCACCAGAACGUACAGAUUUUGAAACAACCUUUUGACUAUAAUAAAUGUGGGAAAACCUUCUUCAAGAGGGCAAUUCUCGUUACCCAGAAAGGGAGACAGACUGAAAGGAAACCAAAUGAAUGUAGUGAAUGUAGGAAAACCUUUUCUAAGAGAUCUACCCUCAUUGUACAUCAGAGAAUUCAUACAGGGGAGAAACCGUAUGUUUGUAAUGAUUGUAGGAAGACUUUUCGUGUGAAGACAAGCCUCACUCGACACCAAAGAAUUCAUACUGGAGAGAGACCCUAUGAGUGCAGUGAAUGCGGGAAAACCUUCAUUGACAAAUCUGCCCUCAUUGUACACCAGAAAAUUCAUGGAGGGGAGAAAUCCUAUGAGUGUAAUGAAUGUGGAAAGACGUUUUUUCGGAAGUCAGCCCUGGCUGAACAUUUCAGGUCACACACAGGGGAGAAGCCUUAUGAAUGCAAGGAAUGUGGAAACGCCUUCAGUAAGAAAUCGUAUCUUGUUGUACAUCAAAGAACUCACAGAGGAGAGAAGCCAAAUGAAUGUAAGGAAUGUGGGAAAACCUUCUUCUGUCAGUCGGCCCUUACUGCACAUCAGAGAAUUCACACAGGGGAAAAACCCUAUGAAUGUAGUGAAUGUGAGAAAACCUUUUUUUGUCAAUCAGCCCUCAAUGUGCAUCGAAGAAGUCAUACAGGAGAGAAGCCCUAUGAAUGCAGUCAAUGUGGAAAAUUUUUAUGUACGAAAUCAGCCCUCAUUGCACAUCAGAUAACUCAUAGAGGAAAGAAGUCUUAUGAAUGUAAUGAAUGUGGGAAAUUUUUCUGCCAUAAGUCAACACUCACUAUACAUCAGAGAACACACACAAGAGAGAAACAUGGUGUGUUUAAUAAAUGUGGUAGAAUAUCCAUCAUGAAGUCAAACUGCAGUCAGUGUAAGAGAAUGAACACAAAGGAGAAUCUUUAUGAGUGUAGUGAACAUGGGCAUACCAUCAGCAAAAACUCACACCUCAUUGUACAUCAGAGAACUAUAUGGGAGAGACCAUAUGAAUGCAAUGAGUGUGGGAGAACCUACUGCAGGAAGUCAGCCCUCACUCACCAUCAGAGAACACACACAGGAGAGAGACCCUAUGAGUGUAAUGAAUGUGGGAAAACUUUCUGUCAGAAGUUCUCCUUUGUUGAACAUCAGCGAACUCACACUGGGGAGAAACCAUAUGAAUGUAAUGAAUGUGGAAAAUCCUUCUGCCAUAAGUCAGCCUUCAGAGUCCAUAGAAGAAUUCACACAGGAGAGAAACCAUAUGAAUGUAAUCAAUGUGGGAAAACCUACCGUCGCCUGUGGACUCUCACUGAACAUCAGAAAAUACACACAGGAGAGAAACCUUACAAGUGUAACAAAUGUGAGAAAACAUUUCGCCACAAAUCAAACUUCCUUUUACAUCAGAAAUCCCACAAGGAAUAAGUUCCAGCAAAGUAAUAAAUUCCAACAAAGCAACAAAUCAAAUAACUUACACAAUGCGAAACUGUGAGUAUGUAUAGAGGAGUAAAAUCUUAUAAUGAGUAUGGAAAAAUUUUCUGCCAUAAGUCCAUCCUCACUAUAACAUCAGAGAAAUCAUGUAGGAAAGAAAUACUUUGUUUAAUAAAUGUAUUAUUCUUUGUGAACUAUGAAAAUAUUCAACAGCAAUUCAAAGGUUAUGCCAAAUGUGCCUCCCUUUUAAAAUAAUGAAACAAACAUUAUUUAAGUUAAAUUGUUACUUGGUUGCUCCCCACAGUGUUACUUGAUAGUGUAUGUUAUGAGGUGUGAGGAUCUGACCUUCAUUUCAAAUCAAUACCAUUGUUUGAUAGUUGAGUAACUUGCAGUUUCUCAAUUUAUGGUGUAUUUUCAGAUUUGGCAGACUUUUUGUUGUCUGCUAACUCCAUAGACUUCUAGUAGCAGACUAUAUACCUUUAUCUGCAAAGGUGACAACUCAGGAGCACUAACCAUGGUACUCUAUGCACCCAUGGUAAUUAUACCCCAGGUGAGCCUUUGGUAAAGCUGAGCCAAUGAAAGCCCUUCCUAAGACCUUUCUAAUGGAAUAUAGGCACAGGAUAACUAGUUCGUUAUCCUGAAGCUUUCAGCCAAGUCAAGAAAACAGCAAUUGCAGUAGGAAAAACAUGGAAAAAUAAGUAUUCUUGAACAACAAAGAGAAUUUGGGUGAUGGUUGAAUCCAAAAAGUGUUUAUUUCUCUGGUUUUAGUAUUCUCUAAUAUCCACUCAACCCCAUCUAGCAGUGGUUUGAUUAUGUCAAUUAGUAUGUUUUCAAAAAUCUCUUGGAUUUCCUAAUCAACAUGUUCAUUAGAGGUAUUCUUUAGAAGUCACUGAUCAAAUUCUGAGAACAAAAGGCCUCUGGGAUGCUGAUUAGGAUUACAUUGUAUGGAUAUAUGUGAUGAGGUAGGAUUGCCACUUUUAUGGGGUUAUUGGGAAAUGUUUACCUUUUAAGUCCUGAUUUCCGUGAGUGGGGUUUUCCCUAUACCCAUUCCUAGCCUCUCUGCCACAUUAUGCAUUCUGCCCCAGGGAAGAUGAAGUGGGCUUAUCUAAUUGCUAAGACAGUGAUGGGUAACUGGGUUUGCUCAGCGGAACUCCCUGUUCAUUUUGGGCUGUUCUGCAAGCACAAUUUCUUGUCACAGGUAUUGCCUGUGAUUGGUAAAUUGGUCUAAUUCUGUCAUUCAGCUAAUUGGCCCAUUAGCUGAAUGGUCACAGUAAGUUGCAUUCUCCAACUCAAUUUGAUCAGUAAUAAAAGUUUCAUCCUGUCCCCUGUCUACUACUUAACUUUUUGUUGUUUAGAUGGGGGUGGAAAUUGUGCUAUUUAUUUGGGGCCCUUCAGAGAACCCAAUAUGAACAUGACUUAUCAGUUUAUUCAGUUUUUAUGUCCUUCAGGACAGAUAAAUGUAUGUGUACACACAUAUACAUAUGUUUAUAUAUAUAAGUAUAUACAUAUGUUUAAAUGUAUGUGUGUGCAUAUACUGAUCUUGCUCUUGUAAAAUGUAUUCAUAGUCACUUCAAAGAUUUGGUUGCUAUUGUGAAAGGAAUUAUGUUACCUUUCACUUUGACACUAAUGGAGUAAAGAAAAACAAAAAUACCUAAUUUUUGUGCCAAAUUUACCUAAAUUUAUCCCUUAAUGUUGGAACAAUCUUUUCAAAUCUUAUGAAAAAUGUAAAUUCAGAAGUCCAAGAAGUUUAAUGAACCCCAAGCAGGAUAAAAAUGAAGAGCACAACCAGACACCAAAUUUCAAGACAUAAAUCAAAACUAGUUUAAUAAAGAAUAUCUUAAAAGUAGCCAAAGAACAAAGACAUGAUAUAGAGUGUAUUCAUCUCCUAGGGCUGCCCUAACACAGUACCUCAGACUAGAUGUUCUAGAACAACAGAUCUAUCUCAUAGUUCUGGAGGCCAGAAGUCAGGUUGGGGUGGUGUUGGCAGGGCUGUACUCUCUUCUGAAGGAUCUGUUCCAGGCCUCUCCCCUGGCUUCUGAUAAUUCUGUAGCUUGUGGCAGCAUAACUUCACGUGGUGUUCUAAGUGUGCCUAUUUGUGUCCAAAUUUCCCCUUUUUGUAAGGAUACUAGUCAUGGGAUUAAGGGCCUGCCCUACUCCAGUAUGACUGCAUCUUCAAUAAUUACAUCUGCAACAAUCCUAUUUCCAAAUAAGGUUACAUUCUGAGGUACUCAGGGGUAGGACUUCAACACACAUUUUGGGGAGACAAUUCAACCCAUAACAGGUUAAUGUAUUAUUUAUUGUUUUGUAACAAAUUAUCCCCAAAAUUAGCAACUUAAAACAAUAAACAUUUACUAUCUCAUUGUUUUUGUGGUUUAGGAAUUGUAGAGUAACUUGGCUAGGUGGUUGAGGCGCAAGGCCUUUGAGGUUGCUGUCAAGAAGUUGACCAGGGAUGCAGUUGUGUAAAGACUUGACGGGGCUGAAGGAUCCACUUCCACCAUGGCUGUCUCCCACAGUUGUUAGCAGGAGACCUCAGUUCUUCAUCACAUCGGCCUCUCCGUAGGGUUUCUUGAGUUUCUCACAACGUGGCAGCCGGCAUUCAUUCCUCAGAGUGAGUGAUCCAAAGCCAGUUUCCCUUAUAACCUAGCUUUGGAAAACUAUCACUUUCACUGUAUUUAAUUAGUCACACAGACCAACCUUGAUACAGUGCCGAAGGGGAUCACACGGGAGCAUGAGUACCAGGAGGUAGAGACCUCUGGAGCCAUGUCACAGGCUAGCUACCACAGGCAACCACCACUAAGCAUGGAGUGGUUUCAAGAAAGGUGAGAGGAGAUGCGCUGAAAAGAGUUAGUACAAACAGCCUUUUCAAGGAGUCAUACUAAAGGCAAGAGAAAUAGCACUGUAGCUCGAGAGUAAAGUAUAGUCAAAGGAGGCUUCUUUCUAUAGCUAGAGAUAAAUGCAUGUUUAUACACUUAUGGGAGAUCUUCCAUAGAGAGGGGGAGAUGUUGGAGUAAUGUUCUGCAUAGGUGAGAUAGGUUGGAAUCUGUUUGUAAGGGGGAAGGGUAGCCUUUUUAAGAGAAUAGGCAAUGGUCGUGCCAUGCCGGCUCACACAUAUGGGUUGAUGUAAAAGUUGUGAAUUUAUUUUAGAAUUGUUUCUAUUUUUCAAUGAAAUGGGGGAUAAGAUUAUAUGAGAGAAUGGGAGAGUUAUAAAUCGGUAUCACUGAUAUGACACAUUUAGUUUGUUUUGCCAGAUUAUUUUAUCUUCCCAUUUGUCUUUCACUACAGUGUUGCGGAGCAUUUGUAUUUUUGUUCUGUCAGUUACUAAUAUACUGAUAUCUUUAUAUAGUGCCUUAAUAUCCCUGUUAUUUGCAGGGAAUAAGGGGAAGAUAGUAUAUUAGUUUCUUACUGUCAGUCAAUAAUGAAAUUAGUUGGUAAUCUCUUCUUCCGUCUUCUCUCCUUGUUCACCUGGAAUCUAAUUUAAAAUGAGAACUUAUUCUUUAAGAUAGACAUAUCAGUCUUGAAUUAUUAUAUGUUCACAGUUUGCCUAUGGACUUUUUGUAUAUUUGAAGAUCAGUAUGACUGGUUAGAAAUCCCCAGCUAACUUUCUUUGCAUAUCCUGAAACACAUUGUUCCAUUAUGUCUAGACCAAGUAUUAUUCUUCAGAAACCUGAUGCUCCUGGAUACUCUGUCCCUCCAGAACCACUCCUCAUGCUUGGGGCAGACCUCUAUGAACUGCAUCAACUGAGGUCUCUUGCCAUCAAGUGUCUGAUUGAGACCUUAUUUGUGGCUCUCUUCUUCUGCAGCUAGAGCUAUUCCCAGAUCCCAAAAGUCAUUUCCUUCCUGCAUCAUUUAGAGUUCAAUCAGAGCAGCAGAGCCAUAUGUAUGGUCUAUAGAUGACAAAAUUGUUAUCAAGAUUUGACUCCAGGCUAUUAUGGGAAGCCUGUUAUGUGACUGUCUUCAUGGCUGAUGCUGGCACUUUAAUUCUGCAGGCCAAGCAAGUAGGGAAAGUGAACACUAAGAGAGAGAACAAAGACAAGCUGGAAGCCCCAGACAAAGCUGUGGCAGUUUUUACUGUCUUCUACCUAAACGAUGUGGGUGUCCUACAGAGGUUGGUGCCAUUUGUGGUGUUGCUAAGCACACACAUAGCCCAGGAGCUGGAAGACCUGGAGGAGAUACUGGGGAAAAGAGAGCAGCCACAGGCUUGUCUACUGAGCCACGCCACCAAGAACCAGCAGGAGCCUAUGAAUGAGCUGCCUUCCCUGGUGUCAGCACUGAAACUCGAGAAACAAGUGUCUCUGAAAUCUCUGGAUCAUCUUACAUUCUGGCAAUUUCUACCUUCUGUUAAUGAAGGUAGUCAUCUCUUUCCAACUAGAUGAUUUGCUUUAGCCCCAACAUGCAAAGGGAGAAUUUGAGCAAAAAGACUUCAAGGCAUCUUGCAGAGGUGAUAGGCCUCUAUACAGGACUUUAAACUCCUACAGAUGUGGGCUUGAAUCAGCAUGAUCAAAUUAUUCUGGCCGUUGACUCCUCAUCAAUCUACAUGAUGGCCAUAAAUCCUGGAUAUAGUCCACAUGGUGUAGUGGGCACGUAUUUUCAGCGAGGGUGCUGUAUUUAUGGAGGCCGCUGCAGAUGUGAACUCAGCAAGCCACUGAAACGGAAAGAAGCAACUGCUACAGAUCUGACUACAAAAUCAUCCCUUGCUGCUUCCUCAAGUCUCUCGUUCAUAGUUGGACCGCUUGUUGAAACGAAUACAGGCAAAGCUGAGUCCAAUUCAAACUUGGCAACUGUAGGAGCGUGUUCAGAGGACUGGUGGAUGCUGUUGAGUUUGUUCCCAGGCAACUCUACUGCAGCCAUGCUGCCUCUUUCUGCAGUGACCAAGGGAGAAUCAGAGAAAGAGCAAAUAGCUGUGAUAACAAAGAAGCCGCUUUGCCCCUAGGCUGCAGUGGGAGAGAUGGAAAUGGGUAGAACUGUGUGUGUCUCCACAGAGAGUCAUGUGAUCAUGUAAGCUGCAGGUCCUACCUCCAAUGGAUGCUGCCCAGAGACCACAGCAUGUGAAAAUCUUGCCCUGAGGCCCAUGAGAAGGAAACAGAGCUCUCACUGGCUAUGCAGUGCAGCAAGGAUACGAUGUGUGGGAUCUGCAUGAAGGUGGCCUGUGAGAAAGCCAGCACCGGUGAGCGUGGCUUUGGGAUCCUCUCCAGCUGCAGCCACACCUACUGUCUCAAGUGUAUUCACAAGUGGAAGGGCACUAAGCUAUUUGAGAGCAAGAUCAUAGUGUCCUACCCAGAAUGCCGGGUCACAUCUAACUUUGUCAUUCCCAGUGAGUACCGGGUGGGAGAAAUAAGAGAAGCAGAAACGAUUUUGAUGAAGGAUGGGGGAGCUGCCUAUCUUGGGGGAUGUGUUUUUACAAGCAGGUAUUCCCUGAUGGCCAUAGAAAGGAUAGAGACAGGCAAGCAGAUACUGGGCCCAGUGAAGGAACCACUUCUAGGAGUUCAUUGAGGAAAGAGAGAACAAUGACCCCUUUGACAACAAUGAAGAAGAGGUUGUCACCUUUGAGCUGGGUGAGAUGUUGCUUAUGCUCGUGGCAGAUGGGGACGAUGAACUGACAGACUUUGAAAAUGAGUGGGACUUGUUCCAUGUUGAUUUGGAAGAUUUUUAUGACUUGGCUCAAUAGCCACCUCGCGUGGCAUGUGGACUGGCCUGCUGACCUCAGCAGCAGUCCCCUGUGGCAGUGUGACAGUGUCCGUGUUUGCUGUCUUAAUUUUUACCCAGGGCCUGUCUUCUCAAUCUGUGACCUUUCCCCAAGAAGUGUGUUACUUUCUCUGUGGAAAAAAGAUUCAAAAAUAAAUCCUGAAGUUAGUGUUUUGUAA